rnacentral:rRNA from 1 species
GGAGUUACAAAGGAAUAUGGUAGGCGAAGAGGUCUGGAAAGGCCCGCGAUAGAGGUAAAAGCCCUGUAGCCUAAACUGUGUUCUCUCCGAGACGGAUCCCGAGUAGUGCGGGGCACGUGAAACCCCGUAUGAAUCCAGCAGGACCAUCUGCUAAGGCUAAAUACUACCUGGCGACCGAUAGUGAAACAGUACCGUGAGGGAAAGGUGAAAAGC